rnacentral:rRNA from 1 species
AUUGAACGCUGGCGGCAGGCCUAACACAUGCAAGUCGAACGGUAACAGGAAGCAGCUUGCUGCUUUGCUGACGAGUGGCGGACGGGUGAGUAAUGUCUGGGAAACUGCCUGAUGGAGGGGGAUAACUACUGGAAACGGUAGCUAAUACCGCAUAACGUCGCAAGACCAAAGAGGGGGACCUUCGGGCCUCUUGCCAUCGGAUGUGCCCAGAUGGGAUUAGCUUGUUGGUGGGGUAACGGCUCACCAAGGCGACGAUCCCUAGCUGGUCUGAGAGGAUGACCAGCCACACUGGAACUGAGACACGGUCCAGACUCCUACGGGAGGCAGCAGUGGGGAAUAUUGCACAAUGGGCGCAAGCCUGAUGCAGCCAUGCCGCGUGUAUGAAGAAGGCCUUCGGGUUGUAAAGUACUUUCAGCGGGGAGGAAGGGAGUAAAGUUAAUACCUUUACUCAUUGACGUUACCCGCAGAAGAAGCACCGGCUAACUCCGUGCCAGCAGCCGCGGUAAUACGGAGGGUGCAAGCGUUAAUCGGAAUUACUGGGCGUAAAGCGCACGCAGGCGGUUUGUUAAGUCAGAUGUGAAAUCCCCGGGCUCAACCUGGGAACUGCAUCUGAUACUGGCAAGCUUGAGUCUCGUAGAGGGGGGUAGAAUUCCAGGUGUAGCGGUGAAAUGCGUAGAGAUCUGGAGGAAUACCGGUGGCGAAGGCGGCCCCCUGGACGAAGACUGACGCUCAGGUGCGAAAGCGUGGGGGAGCAAACAGGAUUAGAUACCCUGGUAGUCCACGCCGUAAACGAUGUCGACUUGGAGGUUGUGCCCUUGAGGCGUGGCUUCCGGAGCUAACGCGUUAAGUCGACCGCCUGGGGAGUACGGCCGCAAGGUUAAAACUCAAAUGAAUUGACGGGGGCCCGCACAAGCGGUGGAGCAUGUGGUUUAAUUCGAUGCAACGCGAAGAACCUUACCUGGUCUUGACAUCCACGGAAGUUUUCAGAGAUGAGAAUGUGCCUUCGGGAACCGUGAGACAGGUGCUGCAUGGCUGUCGUCAGCUCGUGUUGUGAAAUGUUGGGUUAAGUCCCGCAACGAGCGCAACCCUUAUCCUUUGUUGCCAGCGGUCCGGCCGGGAACUCAAAGGAGACUGCCAGUGAUAAACUGGAGGAAGGUGGGGAUGACGUCAAGUCAUCAUGGCCCUUACGACCAGGGCUACACACGUGCUACAAUGGCGCAUACAAAGAGAAGCGACCUCGCGAGAGCAAGCGGACCUCAUAAAGUGCGUCGUAGUCCGGAUUGGAGUCUGCAACUCGACUCCAUGAAGUCGGAAUCGCUAGUAAUCGUGGAUCAGAAUGCCACGGUGAAUACGUUCCCGGGCCU